rnacentral:rRNA from 1 species
GAUGAACGCUAGCUACAGGCUUAACACAUGCAAGUCGCGGGGCAGCAUGGGGGUUGCUUGCAAUCCCCGAUGGCGACCGGCGCACGGGUGAGUAACGCGUAUCCAACCUGCCCUUCACCACGGGAUAACCCGGCGAAAGUCGGACUAAUACCGUAUGUUUUCCAUUGGCGGCAUCCGAUUUGGACGAAAGGUUUGGCGGUGAAGGAUGGGGAUGCGUCCGAUUAGCUGGACGGCGGGGUGACGGCCCACCGUGGCGACGAUCGGUAGGGGUUCUGAGAGGAAGGUCCCCCACACUGGAACUGAGACACGGUCCAGACUCCUACGGGAGGCAGCAGUGAGGAAUAUUGGUCAAUGGGCGUAAGCCUGAACCAGCCAAGUAGCGUGCAGGAUGACGGCCCUAUGGGUUGUAAACUGCUUUUAUGCGGGGAUAAAGUGGCCCACGUGUGGGUUUUGGCAGGUACCGCAUGAAUAAGGACCGGCUAAUUCCGU